CGGGUGGAGCCUUAGAGUCUCUUUGACGACAGCACGAAGGUAUGGUAGAUUCGGGAUGUCGCUCUCUCGGAUCAGCCUGUCCUUGCCUACAGCUUUGUCAAUCUCUUCCCUCAAUUUUCUUAGAAUGCGUGGAUGGUUGAUGAGCUCCGCUAGCGCCCAUUCCACCGUAGCGGCUGACGAAUCAGAGCCUGCUGUGAAAAUAUCCUACAUAAUAUAGGAAGAAUAAGGAGUACGAUAUUUUGGACUCAUUUGCUUCACUGAAAAACAAGAAAGAAAAGUAUGAAAAUGCUUCUUAUUUGAUUGGAUUUCUUUAGAGAGGAAGAUGAAAAAGUAGUAUUUUUAUAAAAAUAAAUUUUUAUAUUUAGUAAAAAAAAUUCAUAAAAAAAUAAAAAAAGGUACUUUCCUGCCAACUAGAAAUUAGAUUUUUUUCUAAAGAUAAUUUUAAGCUAUCAAAAUUCAUAAAUAAGAUCUUUCCAUUAGUAUAAUAGAUAUUUAAUAUAAUUUUUUAAAAAAUAAAUACUUAACUAAAUAUAAGCCACUAUACAAUAUGCUGCUUUUCUACGAUCAACCAAAUAUACCAACUUAUUUUUCAAACAUUAUAUUUUUUUUAAAAUUAUUUUUUUUAAAAAGGCUCAAAAGGUGACGUGCAGCUCAAAAGGCUCAGCUACGGAUGAAGAAAAGGAGAGGUCAGAAAUAGGGAUAAAAAGGCUGCCGUAGGGCGGCGGCCACGUACACAGUAAUCCCUGGAUAAACCUGCGUUAACACAGGGAUUAGGGGGCUUAUUCCGUUUCCAAGCGGGGCCUAAAAGAUCAUUGUAACUUACCAGAACAAAGCCCUUGAUGUUCUCUCUUGUUAGCUUCAUAUCAGCAUUCGCGUCCUCGGACACGUCGAGCAUGAUAUCAAGCAAGUCCUUGACACCAUUAUCUCCCUCUCCUCUCUCUUUUCUUCUCUUCCUAAUCUCUUCUUUCUCCUUGAUGAUCCUCUCCACGAACGCAUCAAACCUUUCAUGAACCACGUUGAUCCUUUUGUUCAGCCCUUGCAAGUCCAAGUUGCGGAAAAUCCCGAUGUAGUCACUGAGGUUGAACACCCCAACGAGCUCGGCCACCUGCUUCACCAACUUCCUCGCCUCCUCCGUGUCAGAAGUCGUCGAGCUCGCCGUCAUUCUGGUGAUCACGUUGUUGGUCAUCUUGAUCAGCUCCCAGCUGAUAUCGACGGGGUUGCUGGAUCUGGCCUUGUGGAGCAAGGUCCGCAAGAGGGCAUGGAGCUCCGUACGCCGGACCGGGGAGAGUUGGUCGACCGUCCGGCCGCCGAGGAGCUCCGACAUGCAAAGCCUCUUCAUGAACUUCCAGUAGGGGCCGUAGGGGGCGAAGGCGAAGCCGGCGGAGUCGUAGGCGAAGCGGCGGACGGCCGUGUACUGGGGGCGGUUGGCAAAUGCGAGGUCGUGGGUCUUGAGGAGCUCCCUCACGGUGUCGGGCGACGAGGCCACGACGGCGGGCGUGGAUCCGAGGAGGAGGUGGAUAGAACAAAGCCCUUGAUGUUCUCUCUUGUUAGCUUCAUAUCAGCAUUCGCGUCCUCGGACACGUCGAGCAUGAUAUCAAGCAAGUCCUUGACACCAUUAUCUCCCUCUCCUCUCUCUUUUCUUCUCUUCCUAAUCUCUUCUUUCUCCUUGAUGAUCCUCUCCAUGAACGCAUCAAACCUUUCAUGAACCACGUUGAUCCUUUUGUUCAGCCCUUGCAAGUCCAAGUUGCGGAAAAUCCCGAUGUAGUCACUGAGGUUGAACACCCCAACGAGCUCGGCCACCUGCUUCACCAACUUCCUCGCCUCCUCCGUGUCAGAAGUCGUCGAGCUCGCCGUCAUUCUGGUGAUCACGUUGUUGGUCAUCUUGA
rnacentral:lncRNA from 1 species